UCGAGAAUUUUUCACAAUGGGGGAAACCCUGAUGGAGCGACGCCGCGUGGGGGAUGAAGGGCUUCGGCCCGUAAACCCCUGUCAUUUGCGAACAAACCCGGAAGUUGAACAGAUUUCCGGCUGAUUGUAGCAGAAGAGGAAGGGACGGCUAACUCUGUGCCAGCAGCCGCGGUAAUACAGAGGUCCCAAGCGUUGUUCGGAUUCACUGGGCGUAAAGGGUGCGUAGGCGGUGGGGUAAGUUUGAGGUGAAAUCUCCGGGCCCAACCCGGAAAAUGCCUUGAAUACUAUCCUGCUAGAGGAUCGAAGGGGAGACUGGAAUUCUCGGUGGAGCAGUGAAAUGCGUAGAUAUCGAGAGGAACACCAGUGGCGAAGGCGAGUCUCUGGACGAUUCCUGACGCUGAGGCACGAAAGCCAGGGGAGCAAACGGGAUUAGAUACCCCGGUAGUCC
rnacentral:rRNA from 1 species